CCUCCUUAUCUUGAAGUAAGACGUUUUGAUGAAAGCUUCGGCUUUGCGAGUGUUCACACAAAUUGUAUGAUAAUGAAUUAGAGAAACGAUAGGUCUGUAGCUCAGCUGGUUAGAGCGCACCCCUGAUAAGGGUGAGGUCGGCAGUUCAAGUCUGCCCAGACCUACCAAUUUAGUUUCAGUCAGUGUUAGUAACUGAGUUAAUUAAAAGCUAAAUUGUCGUUUUAUUCUCUUAUAAAGAAAGAAACCAAACUUAACGCAUCAUUGAUUGAUGGUUUAAGUUUGGUUUUUUAAACCAAGUUUUUAACCGAAUGCGUGUUAAUCACUACUUCUUUAACAAUCUGGAAAGCUGAUAUAAAUAUCGGUAUUUAUAGGCUAAGCACGGUGUCGCGCUGUUGCUUAGGUCAUUAUAA
rnacentral:misc_RNA from 1 species